GCAGGCGCGAAACCUUUACACUGCACGCAAGUGCGAUAAGGGGACUCCGAGUGCGAGGGCAUAUCGUCCUCGCUUUUCUGUACCGUAGGGUGGUACAGGAACAAGAGCUGGGCAAGACCGGUGCCAGCCGCCGCGGUAAUACCGGCAGCUCAAGUGAUGGCCGAUCUUAUUGGGCCUAAAGCGUCCGUAGCCGGCCUCGCAAGUCCGUCGGGAAAUCCACGCGCCCAACGCGUGGGCGUCCGGCGGAAACUCCGAGGCUUGGGACCGGAAGGCUCGAGGGGUACGUCCGGGGUAGGAGUGAAAUCCCGUAAUUCCGGACGGACCACCGAUGGCGAAAGCACCUCGAGAAGACGGAUCCGACGGUGAGGGACGAAAGCUCGGGUCUCGAACCGGAUUAGAUACCCGGGUAGUCCGAGCCGUAAACGAUGUUCGCUAGGUGUGGCACUGGCUACGAGCCAGUGCUGUGCCGUAGGGAAGCCGAGAAGCGAACCGCCUGGGAAGUACGUCCGCAAGGAUGAAACUUAAAGGAAUUGGCGGGGGAGCACUACAACCGGAGGAGCCUGCGGUUUAAUUGGAUUCAACGCCGG
rnacentral:rRNA from 1 species